rnacentral:lncRNA from 1 species
AUGGUCUGUGGCACCGGAGUCUAUUAUCCAAGAGUCAUCAUAAACCCUGUGUGAGACAUUUAUGCAAAAAGAGAGUGAAAGUGUACCUAAAAGAGGCAAAGAACAAGUUCUAGUAGGUUUGUCAAGGGAUCCCAACAAGCUUCUCAACUUCUCCAUUUCUUCACUAUUGAACAAGUUCCAGUAGGUUUGUAAAGAACACGUGAAUAAAAAAAAAAUCCAGCUAUGAAGGCUAGAAAAAUGGCGAUGAAGGCCAGAAUGAUGCCCAGGUCUUAAAAACCUACAACUCUGAUACCAUGACACGAAAUAUGGGAUGAAAAAUAAUAAGUUAUGUCUAUUAGAUUGACUAUACACAUAGUUUAUAUAGGAGAUUAC